CCGGGGCUGGCGGGCCGGGCGCAGAAGGCGCACCUGAGGGCCGGGCCGGACCGCACCGCGGAGCGGGGACAGGCGGCGGCGGGAGGAGGAGGAUGUCGCAGCCGCCGCUGACCCCCGCCUCGGCGGAGACUCGGAAGUUCACCCGGGGGCUGAGUAAGCCGGGCACGGCGGCGGAGCUGCGGCAGAGCGUGUCCGAGGUGGUACGCGGCUCGGUGCUGCUGCUGAGAAUGCAGGCUGAUAAGUGCAGGACAAGCAGUAGAAGUGUCAAAAAGGAGCUGGUGAUCGAGUCCCCCCUGAAAUACAAGGAUGCAGCUCAGGGAGAAGUGGAAGCAGAGAGCCCCCGCCUGAUGCUGGUAAGAGGGUGUUGUCCAAAGCAUUGCCGUGGCUUCCCCACGCAGUGUGUGUAUGAUGUUGAUUACCUCUAGCUUGUGACUUUAAACCGUACUCUGCCUAUCUCUUAUGACCCUUUCUCCCUGUCUUUUCUUAAAAUUGACUUGGGUUUUGCUUUGAUCCUUCCUGAUGAGGAAAGAACUCAUUUUGUGUUAUCUCAGUAUCCAGGAGGCUUCUUUGUAUAGAACAUCU
rnacentral:lncRNA from 1 species